UACGUAGGGUGCAAGCGUUGUCCGGAAUUAUUGGGCGUAAAGAGCUCGUAGGCGGUCUGUCGCGUCUGCUGUGAAAACCCGGGGCUCAACCCCGGGCUUGCAGUGGAUACGGGCAGACUAGAGUUCGGUAGGGGAGACUGGAAUUCCUGGUGUAGCGGUGAAAUGCGCAGAUAUCAGGAAGAACACCCGUGGCGAAGGCGGCUUUCUGGGACGGUACUGACGCUGAGACGCGAAAGCGUGGGGAGCGAACAGG
rnacentral:rRNA from 1 species